AUUUAUUUAUAAAAUGCAAAUCACCACAUAAUCCUCCGCCCCACUACUCUUCUCCUUCUCUUUCUUCGUUCUUCUUCAUCGUUUGAUCCGAGCUUCCAGAGAUUUGGUUGUUCCGAGAGGGAGACCAUCCAUGGCGUCCUCUAAUUCUACUUUUAGGGCUUUCUCCGGCCUCUUCACCUUCUUCACUCUCAUCCUCUUCAUUCUAUCGCCACUCAUUGACGCCCACUCUUCGGUCCCCUCUCCCGCUCCCGCUCCCGCUCCCGCUAGCGAUGGGACCUCCAUAGACCAGGGCGUUGCGUACGUGUUGAUGCUGGUGGCGUUGGUUCUCACAUACCUAAUUCACCCGCUCGAUGCAUCUUCCAACAAUUUUUUUCUGAAUUGAAUUCUAGGAUUGUAGCAAUGUAGGCGCUGUUUGUGGACGUUUUGAGAAGGAACGAGGCCCAACAUUCUAUUUCGUUGUCAUAAAUGCAGGUUUCAGAGGAAUAUGUUCAUAUUGGGUUUCGCAGAUUUUAAUCCAUUGGUCUAAUUAUUCAUUUGUUUAUUCCAUUACCUUUUUCUCUUCUUUUAUCAUGAUUUAUACACUGGAUCCAUUUUACAGAGAGAGAGAGAGAGAGAGAGAUAGA